rnacentral:tRNA from 1 species
GUCGGUGUGAUGGAAUUGGCAUACGUGACAGACUCAAAAUCUGUAUUUUGCGGGUUCGACUCCCGCCAUCGACACCA